GCGGGUGUAGCUCAGUGGUAGAGCCCUGGCCUUCCAAGCCAGUCGCGAGGGUUCGAUUCCCUUCACCCGCUCCA
rnacentral:tRNA from 15 species